CACUGCGCCCCGCUUCGAGGUGACCCCACGGCUACGCCGCCGGGGUUGAAACGGGAAGCCGGUGACGCGCUCAGGUCCGGUCGGACGAUCCGACCCGCCCCGCCCAUUCCGGCACUGCCCCCGCAACGGUAAGCAAGUCAGGUCGCGGCCACCGCCACUGUGCACAGGCAUGGGAAGGCGCCGCGCCCGGGAGUCGAUCGCAUCGGCUGCGCUUGCGAGUCCGGAGACCGGCCUCGGUGCGCCACAGGUU
rnacentral:ncRNA from 1 species